GACCAGGAUAGCGUUUUUUCGUUUUCUGCUAUAGUUGACAUAUCCGAUGGUUUUAGAUAGCGUUUGUAUUUUUGGAAACGCUAUGAUAGAGCGGCAUAAUUGGAAACGCUAUGAUAGUAUUCAUUUAAUAGCACAUAAAAUAAUAAACGUUAUUAUAGUAUACUUUUUGAAUCCUUAAACCCUAAACAAACUUCUGAACCAUAUACUCUAAAAAGCUAAAUUUAACUAAUAUAGUUAUAAUCCUUAUAAUAUUUUAGAAAUUAAACUCCAAAUCUUAAAUAUAGAACUAUAAACUUAAAUAUUUUAAAAUUAAACACCAAACCUAUAUACAUUAAAUACAAACCCUAUAUUAUACAUAAUCUCUAAAUCUAAAAUCAUAAACUUCAUAUUUGAUAGUUCUAAAAUUUCAAUACUAAAACAUACACGUUAAGACUAAAAUAAAUUUAUUAUAUCUAUACUCACAGAAUUUCAACACAAAACCUUAACCUUUUUUUUUAUCAAAAAUCUGAAAGAUAAUACUUAUAAAAAUAUAAUCUUUUCAAAUUUAAUUUUUCAAACCUUAAAUCUAACCUUAGAACUCUAUCACAUAGACUUUUGCUCUAAAAUCUUAUACUUUAAAUCUGAAAUUCAAUAGUUCUUCAUUAACUUUAUAAACGUAAAUGAUAAUUUAGGUUAUAUAUUAAUAAAAUUAGUUACACAAUAAAACAAUUUUUGAUUGGUUUUAAUCCAAUCGUUAUAACUCAUUCUUUUGUUAAUCUUUUUUUUUUUUUUCUAAUUGGUCAGUUAAUAAAACAAAGAGAAAAUUUUUUCAUUGGUGAAAACAGGAGGGUGAGGAUAGCUUCUAUAUUUGAUCUCCACCGUAGAUUUAACUCGAUCUAAGGAGCAUAAGUGAUUCACUUUAAUAUUUUUUUUUUUUGCAUUUCUUGUCUCUUCUUCUCUAGCAAUCUCUCGUCUCCUCCUCUCUCACUAUCUCUUCAAUCCUCAUCUCACGAUCUCUCAAACUUGCUGUCUGUCGUCACGGAUUUAAGCUCACCACCUCUGCUCAAGUCUGGAAACCAUGACCCCUCGCCUCCUCCCCUUGAUCUGGAAUAAUGAUGACAUAAAGGAGGUAAUGAUGAUCCAGAGACAGAGGCGGCGGCCGACGUACAAAGAGGUUGAAGACGGCGGGGAGUUACGAAGACGACGGGCGAUGCACAAAAAGAGGCCUACGAAGUCAUAAUGGAAGAGGAAGGGUAAGCUAGCUGUAGUGAUGGAGGUAGAUUCAAGCAAGAAGAGAAGAGAGGCGGGCAAGAGAAGAAGAAGAAGAGAGGCGGAGAAAGAACGUAGACUAGGUUUUAGUUUUAGGUUUAGCUUUUCAAUUUUUCUUUAAAAAAUUGGUUUAGUUUAGUUUACUUUCAUGUAUCGGUAUAAAAGAAUUGAUAUAUAAAAUUUUAAAUUUUUUUUCUUA